GUCAGAGGCCCAUGUAAGGGUUCCCCGCAGAAGGGGCCAUCCUCAGAGGCUCUGGUUGGGUGACUGGUUGGAGUUUGAUGGCCUGAAGGCAAGAACAGACGAACCAGGUUAUUAGAAAACAUGUAUCAGAAUGAAACAAGGGGAGGGGUAAGGAGAGCUCAAAAAUCCCGAGGCCUUUUACCAGUUUGCAAAGGGAGAAGGAGGCCAAAAGCUUGACCGGUAAAAAAAAACUUCACCCUUUUGCCGGCACACUGGGCUUCUGUGUUCCCUUCCCCUGAGCCUAAUCUCAAGCCAACCAGUUCAAGGUUUGGGAAAUUAACUCUUUCCAGUUUGGAGGAUGCAUCUGAGAUGAGUGUCCCAUAGUACAGGGACACAAUUACCUAUCUGUGAAGAAAAGACAGAGAAGGGGAAAGGAAAAGAGAAGGCAUUUUUUAAAGGAGUCCCAGGGAUUCAGGAUGCAUUUGAAAGGGGUACAGAGUGAAGAUGAAUGGCUACCCAUCUAGAAAGGUGAGCAGGCAUCCAUGGUUCCCUUCACUUCCUAACAGAUACCCGGGGUACUUCAGGGAGUGAUGGAAGAGCGUCCUUUUUCCAUCUGCUGUCCUUGCAUCCCCAAGUUCUGGAGAACUUGGCAAGUGCCACCAUGAGUACCAAAGCGGCUUGCACCCAUGAAGCUGGGGGGCCUAGAGAAUAGGAAUUAUCUGCUUUCACCUAUACCUCUAUCACCCCUACUGUAAGUAGCCUUGGAGUUCCCUAGACCUCUUUCAUGCCAUGGAUAUUAACGUGGCCUUUAUCCAUGAAACAAGAAGCCUGGGUUGGCUUAAUGGGCAGGAAUCAGCUACACUCACUUGUGCUGUGCCUUUUAACUUCCAUUAUUGUCUGCCUCCGGAUCCCUCAGAUCCAGUUUGACCCAAAGCUUGGGAUUGCAUGGACUCCUUAUGAUAAGCUGAAUGCUAAGGUAAAGCUGUGGAAGUGAGUCCUCUUCCAACAAGGGAGAGAAAAGGAUGUCUUGUGACACACCCAGAUAACUGGUGGCUAUGGUUAUGCCUGCUAGGGUUUCGGUGCGUGGUGCUUGGCUUUGGUUAGGGCUCUUGGUCUUACUCUCCCAAAAAGGAAACUUGCUAGUGAUGGACAUUCUAUUUAUUCCCAUCACCUGGCAGGAUUUGCAGGAUAAUUGCUCAGAACUAGAAUAUUGAUCCAGAUUUCUACAUUACCAGAUAACACCCCUCUUGUUCUUUCUGAGCUGCAGCUGGGGAUUGCUGGUUGGUUCACAGGAAUAAGCAGGGUUAGUCUAAAAAUGUAGGCAAAAACUUAAAAACAACUAGUGAGUUUAGAAUUUAAUGACAAAUGUAUAACUUUUGAAACAUAAUUUCUCUCCAGUCCUCACUUUUGUUAAGAAAAAAAAACCAUGAUAAGACCGAGUGUUUUGCAAAAUAGACUUUAGCCUUAUACUUGGCCUGAUUAUUUGCAUAAUAAUUAUUUCUACACAGGCCUUUUAGAUUGGCUUUGAUGGAACUCUGUUCCUCAAGGGAUCUCAGAUAAGACCUUUUAAAGCCAUCCUAGCCAUGGGUUUAUUCUCAAAUACAUGUGAGUUGGGUCAUCCUCUCCUCUUACGGUCCCAAGAUAAACUUGGAGCUCCUGGACCUGUUAGAAAGUGACACUCUUUACUGAUCACAGGUCAGGAACCCUAUACAGGGACUGAGUAUGAGGACAGCUUCCGCAUGGGGCUUUUAUUGGCUCUGCAAGUCAAGAUUGACUCCGUAAAGGGAAGUAUGCCCUUCCAGUCAAAGCCUUGGUAAAAUAACCAGUUUUUCCAAUUGUUUUCUGUUGCAAAAGAAAAAUGGAUUCUUAUUGCACUGAUGCAAACAACUAUAUUGCCAUAAGAAUACUCACAGGUAGUUUCCAAAUUCUAGAGGAACCAGGCAGAGAGAAACAAACAUGCUACAAAUUUUGAUCACAGGAGUGUAUACUUUCCUUAUUAAUGACUGUAAAUAGUUCAAAAUAAGUUUCCUUGACUGUGAAAAACAAAACAAGGAUCAGCAAUAUUCCAAGCAAAAGUCAAAAAGAUUUGCUUCAGCUUCCUGAGUUCAGUCCAUCUAGUUAACUCGUUUUGCUUGGUAUUUGUGAAUAUUUCAGCUCUUUAUGAGCCCCAUAAAUUUUCCUUUAUUUCAAUGUUACAAUCUCAAAAGCUUUCAGAAGCCUGUAUUUGAGAGCACCACCUAAAGUUCUAUAGCUUAUUAUAAACCAUCUUUUGAAAAGGAUUAAAGCAAGACAACAAUUGUCUGUGAAUAGCAAAAUGCCCAGGGUAGUGACAGUUAGAAACACAACUGACAAAAAUGUUUGGGUAUCUCUGUGGUUUGCAAUAACUUAACCUUAAUUAUGAUUGGUAGCAUAUACUUAGACAUUAGAAUUUUAGAAAUCUCAUACAAUGUUGGAACAUAUAUUAGCAUUAUUUACCAAGAUAUAACCUAAAGAAGACUGAACAUCAUUUUGGCAAUCCCAUGUACCUAAACAUGUCAAAUAAUUCUGUUUACCUCUCUUCUCUGGACACUUCAGGGGCCCUGUCAAACUACUCAAAAAGCCAGGUGCCGGGGAAGACAAUUUUGAAGCUCAAGUUUGAUUUUGGGAAGGCUGUUAAAUGUUCAAGGUUUAAAACACUUGAUAUUAUGAAACAGAAUUCCAGAUUACCACAAAUUAUUUGUUUUGCAAAAAUGAUGACUCAGAAAACGUAAAGAAGCAAAAACCUUUUAUAACCCUUUACAGAUUUUGCCAAAGAGCAGCUAAUGCCAUAGGAAACCUUUGUUAGGCUUUUAUUUCAAUGCUCAAUUUACAGAAAAACCAUAUAAUACGGUUUUUUGAAUUUAGUCAAUAUGUUCACACAGAGAACCUCUUCGGCAAGGUUAAUUUUCACAAUUCUUCCAUCACUUCUUUGAACCCUCAGCUUUUUAAUAAUUUAAUUCAAAACAAUCCUUUAACCCUAGGCAAAAAUUUACAUUUUCAUGCCUUCUUAUAACCUUUUACUAAAAAACAUACUUCACUGUUCUUACACUCCUUGCAUGCAAAUCUAUUUCCAGUAGUCUCAAUUACAUGUUAUAAUGGUAACUCCUAGUAAUUUUUAACAAUAAUUUAAAACCUGGUAAAUUGUUUUAAUUGUGUGCUAACUGUAGCCAAGGUUUGCCUUCUUAGUUAAGGAGGUGAUUAGUUCCAUAUGUCCCCAGGCCCUACCAGCCGUGAAGCAGAGGAGACAGACAGUUUUCAAAACCCAAAAAGCAGUUUGUAACCUUGAAACACUUAGCAAACCUUGCAUCUUACCUACAUUUUACCAAUAAUCUUUAGGGGCUGUUUUGAUUUCUCAAAGAUUAAAGUCAUGCGAACUGAAAGGUACCACAGCUUUUAACUUCCCUUAAAAAAUACUUGAUCCAAGUGCUUGUCUUCUUUAGGACAAAUUAAUUAGAGAUCUUUUUAAAGACAGCACACACAGUAUACACACACACACACAGGCAUUAGAAAAUCCAGUUGCUGGGUGAGGCCCUUUAAGAGACAGGGCUAGGAAAACAUGCAGAUAUCAAACCAGAGAGGGCUCAUCCUCUGAGGCAGGAUUGCUCAACAAACCUUGCCAAGCAGUUACUGGUCACGCCCCCAGGAUGUAAAACAAGAUGGAGGCUUGCAGCACACACCAUACAGACAUGCAAAGCACACCAGGAUUGGCCACGGCCCAAGACUAGCCCUACAAAUCCUUUUCCACAAUUGAAGCUUUACAGAGACUAAGUUCACUGCUGACUGGGUGUGAAGAGGAGAAAAAAAAAGGGGUUUAAAAAUGCCUGGGGAAGAACCUCUUACUCUUACCCAAGUGGUUCCUCCACCAGGGAGACAAGUUUAAUUGCUGUGGGUCAGAGCUGGCCUCCCCGGUGCAGGGAGGAGGAGAUCCCAUGAGUGCGUGGCAGAAAACGCCAGCCACUCAUGACGCCUUGAGCCAGGGUCAUACUAUAUUGACCUGGCUGGUCUGGAACUCCUGGCCUCAAGCGAUUAUCCUGCCUCAGCCUCCCAAACUGUUGGGAUUACAGCGUGAAGCUCUAGUUCCAUAACUUCUGGGAAGCAAUGGCCAGUCUCAGACUUAAGGAUUAAGAGAAUUUUCCUAAUGAUUCCAGAAUCGGAUACUAAGAAACACGGACACUGCCAGGGAAGGCGCAGUGGCUCCCGUCUGCAGUCCAAGCACUUUGGACGGAUCACGAGGUCAGGAGUUCAAGACCAGCCUGGCCAAUAUGGUGAAACCCCAUCUCUACUAAAAAUACAAAAAUUAGCCAGGCAUGGUGGCGCAUGCCUGUAAUCCCAGCUACUCGGGAGGCUGAGGCAGAAGAAUUGCUUGAACCCAGGAAGCAGAAGUUGCAGUGAGGCGACAUUGUGCCACUGCACUCCACCCGGGGUGACAGAGCCUGAGUCCGUCUCAAAAACAAACAAACAAACAAACAAACGAGGACACUGUCUGAGCACUCUUAUUCUGCAUUUGAAGAAAUACAGAAACAAUGGCAAAAAAUCAUUUGCUCAGAAUUACAGUAAAGAAUCUGCAAGUGUUGGCAAGCAUAACUUUGAUUAUUAUUUGAUUACAUGAAUUAUGAAAUGCAUGUAAGUUGAAGUUUUAGAGAGACAUAUAAAUACACAGUAUAAUUGGGGGUUCUUAUUAUUAAGGUCCCUUGUCUUUAGUAUCUGAUAGUUUCGCAUCUCCUUCCUCAUGAGUCCAUGGCAGAAAGUGUCAGUCUGUCUUUUCCUGGCUCCUGUGGGUUAGAACCAUUUAUGAAGUACAUAUCUCUCCAUAGUAGCUCCCUUAUGGUGUUUUGAUAAGAAGCUAUUCUGGGACCUUCAGCUUUUCUUCUGUUACUACCUGUUGAGGUGAGAGCAAAGGAGAUAGAGACAGCAAAGGAGGCAAGAAGUGGUCUACUCUCUUUUCCAUCUUUCACCCAAGGAUAAGUACUAACCACAGCAGAGCUUAUAUCUGGCUAUAUAUUAAGGAUAUUUUCCUGAAGACCUGAAGAAAACAAAACAGCAUAACAUUAGAGCCCAGAUAAAUUUUGAACAAGAUAAAGAUUUGAUCUUGGAGCCCUUGGGGUUCAGCUAUAACCUAUCUCUUCUGAGAUGAUUUAGUUAUCCUCCCUCCAGGUGGAGGCAGCUUCAUGACCAUUCCUCCUGGAUAUAUGUGCAUUUGGGGGAAGACCCUUAUUCCAUCACAAAGCACCAGAUAGGAGUAGAGUCCUGGCUCAUCCACUCUAAUGCUGAAUUCCCCAGUGUCCUCUUUUCCAUUCUACCUCUCACAUGCUCUGACAUUGGCACCCUGUCAGCCUGUCCCUUAACACCAUAAACUACUAUUGGUACAUUUUCCAAAGUUUAAGCUUACUUAGAAUAUGUAUGAUUGUUUUCUAGCCUGGUUCAAUUCCUUUUCAUGAAUUUGUAUUCAUUACUAGGUCAAGAUAAAUACACAUUCUUCCUGUAGUUUUCCAGGUCUUGUUUUCUGAACUCGGGAGCAAUUGUUUAAAAAUUAAUACAGUGACAGUGAUAAUCUGUGUAAUGUGAUAUUCAAAAGCAAAAUUUGCAUUUUAAAAAUGACAGAUUUUGUAGCCUUCACCAUAGUUGUAAUGUUUUAACAAUUUGAAGCCAAUUUCGAUGAGUACCCUAAUUUCUCCAAAUAUUUAGCAAGAAGAGUUUUCCUAAGCAAAGAGUCUAGGCCAUGGAAAAUUAACUUUCCUCUUUCUCACACUUGUGAGAACAGUGAGGCUCAGAGAGUCUGAAUUAUUUGCCAAAGGUCCUAAGAGUGGUGGAGCUGGGAUUCAAAACUAUGUCACUCUUACUCUACAACCAUGCUGCCUUCUAAAAUUUGUCACUGAAUGUAACUUCCCUUAGCACAUAAAACUGUGUGCAGCAAAAGUUCUACAAGCUCCGGGGUCAAGGGGAACAAUAGGUUUUCUGUGUCUCCAGAUAAGUUGACUCAACCCGAUCAUAUUCAAUUCAAUUUUCAUUUAUUGAUCGUCCAUCGGUUUCAGGUACUAAGUGCUAGACAUAAAAAUGACCAGAGAAAAAAGAGAAUUUUGGAAUGAGAGCAGAAUGGAUUAUUUUCUUCUUUCUUUCUUCUGGUUCAAAUAGUAUAUCUCCUGCACAUGACAGUUUUCCUGUAACCUGGUGUAGCACUUUGAAAAUCCAGUAAAGCAGAAGUGACAGCGCUGUAACUCAUGAACUCCACUGAGAUUGCUAUGGUGUGACAAACCUGUCUCAGCUGUCUGUAUAUAAAUUAGGAAUUCCUAAAGCUUUCAAUACGAAAGUUGCUGUGAACUGCUUCAUUUCAAACUGAAAGCAUUGAAAUGCUAAUUAGGAAGCAUUUUUUUUUUCCUUCAAAGUAACUUUAAAUAACUUUUCGGGAAAGUAAACACAAUUAGUCUAUUUUUAUGGGACAGAUUUCUCCCUAUGAGAGGAGAAUGGCCAUUUUUGUGAACUACUGUUGGAUAUGACAUAUAUAUUUUGGAAGUCCCUUUCAAUCGUUGGAUUUGGCAGAUAAAAUGUUUAUACCGAUUGUAUUUUAUUGAAAGCCAUUUUAUGCAAAUUAAUUUAACACAGAAUUUAAUGAUUUUGGAUGCUGUGAGAUGAGGGGAAAUAACCUUUAAAAUUAACACUGCAAUUUUCAUCUUCUGAUUGUCUCAGCCUCCCCCAGAAUAGAAAAUGCUUAUUCUCUUGGAGAGAGAAAUAAAUUUAAUCUUUACACGGGCACACUCAAAAUUGCUAUUAUGCUUUUACGUAUUUUUUUUCACCAUGUCGUAUACAUUUUCUUUUUAUUUUGUGAAGUGAGGUGUGAACGUGAAUGUGUGAGCCUGUGUGUGCGUGCACACAUGAACAGGAGCGGGGACAAAUUCUAAAUAAGCUCAGGUAGAAUUUAUUUAUUUUUUCUAAUUACAGAGUGCUCACAGAGCACCAAGCAAUGGACCGAUUUUGCAUGUAGCAGAAGCACAGCUGCCUUCUCUCUAACCUACACCUCCUCCUCUAUUCCUGACCUUGUAAAUGGCAUGGAUAAUUAAUCAAUGACAUACGCUGAUGACAUAGGUGUCAUUCUAAACUCUGUUUUCUAUCAUACCUCCUCCAUUUCCUUCUUAGUGUGGUUGAUCAAAGGCCCAUCUAUUCUUUUUAAUAAUAAUGUCUUCAUGUUUUCAAAUAUAUUAAUUUCCAUUGAUACUCUGUGAUAUACAAUCCCAUCACUUUUUUUUCAAAUUUGUCAUAAUUCUGUCAUAUUGCAUAUCUAGCUUGAAUCACUGUUGUGCGAAAUUACGGUAAAAGUUCUAUUUGAAUUGUAAUAAAAUAUAGAAAGGUGAGAAAGGGAGAUUUCAAUCAUUAUUUGUGGACUAUAGACUCUUAGCUGGUAAAACAAAAUGAAUAAAAUGACAAUUAGAAAUAACAGAAUAUUGAAAAAUGUCAUAUAAGUGUUUAAAACUGAAAUGUAUUAAAUUAUAAAAUAUUUAUUAUGCAACUUAUCUAAAUAAAUUCUACCUGAGCUUAUUUAGAAUUUGGUUUUCAUUUAUCUGGGGUACAAGUUCAAGAGUUCAGUUCCUGGGUUAUAUGGCACUUCUAUGUUUAGUUUUAUAAGAAACUUCCAGAUUGUUUUCCAGAGUGACUGUACCACUUUAAAUUCCCAUUAGCAAUAUAUGAUCCAGUUUUUCUAGAUCCUCACCAGAAUUUGGUAUUGUCACUACUUUUUCUUUUUGUCAUUCUGACGGAUGUGCAAUAAUAAAGCAUUGUGUUUUAAAUUUGCAUUUCUGCAAUGAUUAAUGUUGGACAGUUUUUCAUGUGCUUAUUUGCUAUCUGAAUACCCUCUUUAAAUAAAUGUCUUAUCAUGUUUAUUUGCCCAU
rnacentral:lncRNA from 10 species